rnacentral:miRNA from 1 species
AGGGGCUGGCUUUCCUCCGGC